rnacentral:lncRNA from 13 species
AUGAACUCUGUGUCCUCGUAUCUCCAGUGGAAGGUGUUGUGGAAAAUGAGAGCUGAUGAAACGAUGUCAGCCCUGAAUUGGAGGACAGGAUUUCUUCUGCAUAAUGCUCCAUGUGCAACAGGAGGCAGCAACCAGAUACCAGAAAUCUUCUUUCAUUCUGAUACCAAAAAUCCACUCCUCUCACACUUAGAAGCCUUUUAAUUUCUGCAUGAAAUUUGUUCAGAGAGAAGAAAAUCAAACUAACUCUCCAAAAAGAUUGUCACAGCCUCAGACUCUGACACCCGAUUUUGGUCCAGAGACUCCAACAUAAAAGGAAGGUGAGUGCUGCAUCAGAGGCAAUGAGGGCAGAUCAAAGUAAAGCAAACAUAAUACAAAUAUCUGUGACCACCCUGGUGGCUUCUUACAAUGUUAUGCAUAUGAUAUGCAAUGAAAUGGUAUUAAAAAUAUUGUCAAAGUAAAAGGUAGCCAGAAG